AUGCUUGCUUCGACAGCACAUAUACUAAAAUUGGAAUGAUGCAGAGAAGAUUAGCAUGGCCCCUGUUCAAGGAUGACCCACAAAUUCGUGAAGCAUUCCACAUUUUU